rfam:Felis catus isolate Cinnamon breed Abyssinian chromosome D2, whole genome shotgun sequence.
GCCUGGGUGGCUCAGUCUGUUAAGCAUGUGACUUUGGCUCAGGUCACGAUCUCACAGUUUGUGGGUUCGAGCCCUGCUUCGGGCU